rnacentral:rRNA from 1 species
GACGAACGCUGGCGGCGUGCCUAAUACAUGCAAGUAGAACGCUGAAGAGAGGAGCUUACUCUUCUUGGAUGAGUUGCGAACGGGUGAGUAACGCGUAGGUAACCUGCCUUGUAGCGGGGGAUAACUAUUGGAAACGAUAGCUAAUACCGCAUAACAAUGGAUGACACAUGUCAUUUAUUUGAAAGGGGCAAUUGCUCCACUACAAGAUGGACCUGCGUUGUAUUAGCUAGUAGGUGAGGUAAUGGCUCACCUAGGCGACGAUACAUAGCCGACCUGAGAGGGUGAUCGGCCACACUGGGACUGAGACACGGCCCAGACUCCUACGGGAGGCAGCAGUAGGGAAUCUUCGGCAAUGGGGGCAACCCUGACCGAGCAACGCCGCGGGAGUGAAGAAGGGUGUCGGAUCGUAAAGCUCUGUUGUAAGUCAAGAACGGGUGUGAGAGUGGAAAGUUCACACUGUGACGGUAGCUUACCAGAAAGGGACGGCUAACUACGUG